GUUGGAACUAAUAAGGGCGUAUGGUGGAUGCCUUGGCUUUGAAAGGCGAUGAAGGACGCGGCGUGGCGGCGAUACGCUCCGGGGAGGUGCCAAGCAACCUUCGAUCCGGAGAUGUCCGAAUGAGGAAACUCACUGGAGCGAAAUCUCCAGUACCCCGCAGUAAUGCGGGGAGCAGACCUCGGGAAGUGAAACAUCUCAGUACCGAGAGGAAAAGAGACCAAUAGGUAUUUCGUCAGUAGCGGCGAGCGAACGCGAAUGUGAGCCCAAACUGCAAAGUUUCCCAAACUCCUUGGUAGUUCGAGGGGUUCGGGAAAUUUUCAGGGUUAUAAGGCAUUGAUAGGCCUGAGAGAAAUCGAAUGGCCAAGAAGUUACAAAUUGCUGCGGUAGCCGAACGCGCUGGGAAGCGCGGCCCAAGAGGGUGAAGGCCCCGUAGGCGAAACUGCAGCAACUUCUGCAAUGUCCUUGAGUAGCUCAAGACACGAAUGGCUUGAGUGAAUUUGCCGGAACUAACCGGUAAGGCUACAUACUUUCAAAGACCGAUAGUGAACUAGUACCGUGAGGGAAAGGUGAAAAGAACCCCGGAAGGGGAGUGAAAUAGAUCUGAAACCAUAUGUCUACAAAGAGUCGAAGAGGCCGAGAGUAAUCGAAGCCUCGACGGCGUGCCUAUUGAAGAAUGAGCCUGCGAGUUACCGUAUGCCGCAUAGACUUAAGCCCGCUAGGGCGGAGGUGUAGCGAAAGCGAGCGUGAAUAGCGCGGAGGCCCGAACCGUUGAGCCGUUCAAAACUCUCGGAUGACUUGUGGGUUGGAGUGAAAAGCUAAUCGAACCUUGUAAUAGCUGGUUCUCUCUGAAACAGCUUUUGGGCUGGCGUCGCAUUGAUUGGCAGACGGGGGUAGAGCACUGGAAGGAUGAGACAGGGCGAAAGCUCGCUCAUCCUAUCAAACUCCGAAUACCGUUUGCGUUAUGCGGCAGUUAGUACGUGGGGGCUAAGCUCCACCGUACAAAAGGAGAAGAGUCCUAGAUCUCAAGUUAAGGUCCCAAAAUCUACGUUAAGUGCAUCACAAGGAGGUGAAGUCUCGAAGACAAUGAGGAUGUUGGCUUAGAAGCAGCCAUCAUUGAAAGAAAGCGUAACAGCUCACUCAUCGAGAGAUCUCGCGCCGAAGAUAAUCGGGGCUAAAACGUAGUACCGAAACUGAGGAUUCGUCCUGAGAGCAAUCAAAGGACGAGUGGUAAGAGAGCGUUCGCAUCCGCGAUGAAGCUGAAGGCGUGAGCCGCAGUGGAGCGUUGCGAAGUGAGAAUGCAGGCACAAGUAACCGCAAUGCGGGUGAGAUCCCCGCACGCCGAAAGCACAAGGUUUCCUACUCAACGGUGAUCAGAGUAGGGUUAGUCGGUCCUAAGCCGAUGGCGAAAGCCGCAGGUAAUGGACAGUGGGUUAAUAUUCCCACACCGGCGACUCAGUGAUGGAGGGACGGAGCACAUAAACAGUGGCGCCUUAUUGGAUUGGCGUCCGUAGCCGAAGACUUGCAAGGCAGGAAAAUCCGCUUUGCGCUGUCGAAGCAUCGGGGCACUUUCAGGUUCGCCUGAGAGGACCACUGCGAAGAGGCUUCCAAGAAAAACUUCUAAACUAUAUGGGUCGUACGACCGUACCGCAAACCGACACAGGUGUGCAGCUCGAGUAGAGCAAGGCGAACGAGUGAGAGUACUCCAAGGAACUCGGCAAAAAAUCGGCCGUACCUUCGGAAUAAGGCCUGCCGCGCGCGAGCGCGGCCGCAGCGAAAGUAUCCCUGGCGACUGUUUACCAAAAACACAGCUUCCUGCGAACCCGUAAGGGGAUGUAUAGGAGGUGACACUUGACCAAUGCCAGAAGGUCAAAUAUGGCCCGUCCUUUGAUCGCAAGAUUGGAGGGCCGAGCUAUAUAAGCCCUGGUGAAUGUCGGCGAUAACUAUAAUCGUCCUAAGGUUCUCUGCUUGAGCAAUCGAGCAGGGAAGGACUAGGACUAUUACAGAAUCGGGUAAAUAGCGAAAAAGUUACACAAAAAGCUACUUCUCUACAUAGGAAUAUGUAGAAGGUCCUAAAAAACACGCGGCUCACAUAAGAGACCAUACGCCGUGCUUCCAGAACGGAAGAAGACAUGGUCCUUCGCCCACAGGAAGCGAAAAGCGAAAUUCCUUGUCUGGUAAGUUCAGACGCGCACGAAUAGUGUAACGACUGGGGAACUGUCUCGGAGUACCGCUCGGUGAAAAUACAAUACCGGUGAAGAUGCCGGUUACCUGCAGUUAGACGAAAAGACCCCAGAAGCUUUACUGUAGCUUGAUAUUGUGCAUGCGGCUUUGUUGCGUAGCAUAGGUGGGAGAGGUUGAGGCGGUGCUUUCGGGCGCCGCGGACUCGUCAGUGAAAUACCACUCUGUAAAAUUGUAUGUACUAACCGGACGCGCAAAACGCGUUCGAGACAUUAUCUGGUGGGCAGUUUUAGUGGGGCGCUAUCCUCCUAAAAAGUAACGGAGGAGUUCAUUAAGGUUCCCUAGGCGCGAAUGGAAACCGUGCCGAUAGCGUAAUGGCAAAAGGGAGCUUGACUGCAAGGCGUAAAUGCCGAGCAGGUGCGAAAGCAGGACAUAGUGAACCGACCAUCCGCAUUAGAGCACCUCGAUGUCGGCUCAUCUUAUCCCGGGGGUGGAGAAGCUCCCAAGGGUAUGGCUGUUCGCCAUUUAAAAAGAUACGCGAGCUGGGUUCAGACCGUUCAGGUCCUAAAGAAAUUUGGAAUUUGAACUGUCUGAACCCGCGAGGAAACGUGGUGACGUUUGGAACCACACUGUUAAGAAUGUUCACGGCGGCACUGAGGAGUAAUCCACAGUGAGAAACCGACUAUAUCGGUGGAAUCCUAACCUGUCGUAUGGUAGGAUAAUACCGAGGGAAGUCAUGCAACCGCUUUCGUCAACAACCAAAGCAUAUCUUGCCGGCUUUUUAGACGGCGACGGAAGUAUUUAUGUGCGGCUCAAACCUAAUUCUACCUAUAAGUAUGGAUUUCAGGUUGCGCCGUAUGUGGUAUUUUUUCAAUCGCAAAAGGCUAAAAAGCUAUUCGAAAAAUUAUGUGGUCUUGUGGGGUCCGGGUAUAUCCGGGAGCGCAGUGACGGAGUUAUCGAAUACAUUAUUGGCAAGACCGAUGCAAUUAAAGAAUUUUUAAUUGCUGUAGAACCACAUUCGGUUCUAAAACGGGAGCAAAUAAAGCUAAUGCUUGAGAUUCUCGAGUAUCGACAGACUAUAAAGUCUGAACGAGAGUUCAAAAAGUUGAUGAAAAUGAUAGAUCGUUUCGGUGAGUUAAAUUACUCAAAGAAGCGCCUUAAGCGAGUGCUGACCCCGUAGAGACUACACGUCGGUCUCCCUAAUUUAGGGAUGAAGGUAUAGUCCAAUCCCCACAGUAAUGUGGGAAGACUUGAUUCGUUUCGAGUCGAUAGAUGCGUGAGACAGGUUGGUCUCCUAUCUACUGCAGGCGUCGAUUCUUGAGAAGAGUUCUUCCUAGUACGAGAGGACCGGAAGGAACUGACCGCUGGUCUACCAGCUCUCCUGCCAAGGGGACCGCUGGGUAGCUAUGUCGGGAACGGAUAAGCGCUGAAAGCAUCUAAGCGCGAAGCCAACUUCAAGAUGAGGAAUCAUUAAGAUCCGUGGGAGAUGACCACGUUGAUAGGUUCUAGGUGUACGUGCCGCAAGGCAUUGAGCCGAGGAAUACUAAUCGAUCGAUGUUCCGGCCC
rnacentral:rRNA from 1 species